rnacentral:lncRNA from 10 species
GGAGAAUCUCCUCAUGGACGUGGCUGGAGGAGCCUCCUCUUCUCUCCUGUGUAAGACUCACUGCACAAUGUUGAAUUAACUCAUGAGAGGCGACAUCCUUCUCUUAUUCCUGAUCAUAGGUGUAAAGCACUUGGAUUCUCACCAGGUCUUGGCAGUCUCUAUGCAAAUUAGCACUUGUCUAAUGUCAUUAUGCAUGGUUCCUGGGAGAGCAGCAACUGGAAUCCUGGAUAAACUUGUCCACUCAGUCUGGGGGAUAAGGAGACUGGGAUAAAGAAGCAGAAACUCUCUCACGGAUGGAUGGACCAGGCCUUACCUUGACGUAUGUGAUCUUCCCUUUAACCUGUGACCUUGUGUUUGGGACGGUAGUAAGAAGAUUUCAUUAAACCAGCUGAACUUUUAUCAUCUGAGGCCGAAUGUCAAACUCUACCCUGAAAUGCAACAUAGUGGGCUUAGACUGGUGUAAGAAAGUAUGUUUUGAUUCGGGUUAGUUGUGGAAGCUAUAUUUCAGGUGGAAGCAUAGGGUACAUUGGGGUUAGAGACUUAGCCUAUGAUAUUGUAAGAAAGGGGGAGUGAGGGGCUAUAUUGUCCAACAAUUGUAAUGUAUAUUUAGUUCUCCUAAUUCUGGCAACAAUUCUGCAAAGUUAGAUGCAGAGAUUGCAUUCCCUUGGAAGCUUACUCUGAGAUGGAGUUCGGAAAGCAGAAUGCUUAUUGUGAAGAUAAAUAAUUCAAAUUAAAGCUGUUGGAACUUUAAAGUAUUUUGAGCCUCUAAGGGAAUGUGAAUUGUGAGACCUGAGUCAUGUAGCAUGCAGCUACAGCUUCUGUUCCUUCCUGUAAAUGAUAAGAAAAGGCCUUGUGGCACCAGAGAGCAGACCCCCUCAGAUUGUCACCCCUCCUCAGAAAGCGCUGGAGCACUGUUCCUUAGAAUGUAGCAAACUGUGAGCAAUCACAUCCCUGCAACUGUGUACUGGCCAUGUAUGGAAAUGUGUGAUCCUGCCAAACCUCUUUGUUUCUGCCUAUAUUAAUAAAACCUUAAUUUCCUCACU